UCCUGGGUGGCUCAGUGGAAAAGAAUCUGCCCGCAAUGCAGGAGACCCAGGUUCGAUCCCUGGCUUGGGAA